ensembl:lncRNA
CCGGGCCGGGGCCGGGGCUGGGCUCCGGGCCGGGUCUGGGCUCCGGGCCGGGGCCGGGGCUGGGCUCCGGGCCGGGGCUGGGCUCCGGGCCGGGGCCGGGGCUGGGCUCCGGGCUGGAUCUGGGCUCUGGGCCGGGUCUGCGCUCCGGGCCGGGGCCGGGUCUGCGCUUUUGGCCGGGAGUGGAUUUGUGGUUCUGUUGCUUCUGCUGCUGCGGUUGUUUGUUUGGUUUAUUAUACCUUCUGAAUCAGCACAACCUAUGGCCUGCCUGACAGAGGCACAGAAUGCACAGCUGAAUGGUGUUCCCUGGGACCCCACUGUCUUCUGAAACUGAAGCUCAUCCUUCUCACUGCAGAGGAAAUAAUUACUCACAACAGCAGGCAGCAAAAAUCUCUUCAUGGGGUUCAUCACACACACUAUUCUUGCAACUGUGGACCUCUGAGGGCUGGAAUUACUCCUAUACACAGAAGAACAUGGCUCUGAAAAGAGGGCAUGAAGACAACAGAAAUGAUUUGUCUCUUUACCAGCUAAGAAGUGGCUGUGGCUGUGAGACACAAAACCUGUGAUGAUGAUGAGCAAGGCCUCUCUUACAAACACAUAGUGCUGUGAUAGCCCUAUUUGGGCACUUGAUGGUAAUUGCCACUAAUGCUCCACUGUGCUCCUUCGUUGUCCUUUGGGCAGGAGUGUCCUGGUUUGUAAGAUAAGCUUGUAUUCUAUUUGCCAUCUGUUGGAGGUUGGGCAGGUUUGUUAUCUCUUCCAAGAACAAUGGUUUGCUCCGAAGAGGUAAUAGUUUGUUAAUGAGCCAUUGACUGACUCACUGCAGGCCUGGUAACGUAACACCAUCCCAUUGUGAGAUGCUCCACCCAGAGGGGGAAGCCAAGCACUCUUUUAUGGGAUAAAGGGGUACCUUUUGGGAGACAGGGCAGCUCUCUCUCUCUUCUGCGGGAUUCCCAGAGAAGCAGCUCCUUCGGCGGGAUUCCCAGAGAAACGGCCGGAGUGCGGUAAGGCGGCGGCGGCGGAGCUCAGAGGCGGCCCCGGCGCAGAGGAAGACCGGCCCCAACUGCCACCAGAUCUUCAGAGAAAACUAUACCCUUCAAAAGAUCACCACUUCAGCUGCAAUUCAUCAGCUACUGCAAGAGGAGCAGCUGUCAUUUCAACUGGACUGCUACCAACACCCCGAAUCCUCAGGGUGUCAGGUUGUGGACUUUAUCACUAGUUUUUUGUUUGUACCAAAUGCAUUUGCCUUUUAAAAUUGUUAUCUAGUUUCUCCUAGUAAAGAAUUGUUACUCCCAUUCCCAUAUCUUUGCCUGAGAGCCUUUUAAUUUAAAAAUCCUGGUAAUUCGGAGGGAGGGGGUUUACCUUCUCCAUUGCACAGGAGGCUUUUGCCCUCCUUCACAGACUCCUGUCUUGUC